rnacentral:rRNA from 1 species
GGGUUGUAAACUUCUUUUAUAUUAGAAUAAAGUGCAGUAUGUAUACUGUUUUGUAUGUAUAAUAUGAAUAAGGAUCGGCUAACUCCGUGCCAGCAGCCGCGGUAAUAUGGAGGAUCCGAGCGUUAUCCGGAUUUAUUGGGUUUAAAGGGAGCGUAGGUGGGCUGGUAAGUCAGUUGUGAAAGUUUGCGGCUCAACCGUAAAAUUGCAGUUGAUACUGUCAGUCUUGAGUACAGUAGAGGUGGGCGGAAUUCGUGGUGUAGCGGUGAAAUGCUUAGAUAUCACGAAGAACUCCGAUUGCGAAGGCAGCUCACUGGACUGCAACUGACACUGAUGCUCGAAAGUGUGGGUAUCAAACAGGAUUAGAUACCCUGGUAGUCCACACAGUAAA